UAAGGAAUAUUGGUCAAUGGACGCAAGUCUGAACCAGCCAUGCCGCGUGAAGGAUGAAGGUCCUCUGGAUUGUAAACUUCUUUUAUCUGGGACGAAAACGGGAUUUUUAUCUCAAUUGACGGUACCAGAGGAAUAAGCACCGGCUAACUCCGUGCCAGUAGCCGCGGUAAUACGGAGGGUGCGAGCGUUAUCCGGAUUUACUGGGUUUAAAGGGUGCGUAGGUGGGCAGGUAAGUCAGUGGUGAAAUCUCCGGGCUUAACCCGGAAACAGCCGUUGAUACUAUUUGUCUUGAAUAUUGUGGAGGUAAGCGGAAUAUGUCAUGUCGCGGUGAAAUGCUUAGAUAUGACAUAGAACACCAAUUGCGAAGGCAGCUUACUACACAAUCAUUGACGCUGAGGCACGAAAGCGUGGGGAUCAAACA
rnacentral:rRNA from 1 species